rnacentral:rRNA from 1 species
AGCGAACGCUGGCGGCAGGCCUAACACAUGCAAGUCGAACGAUCCUUCGGGAUAGUGGCGGACGGGUGAGUAACACGUGGGAACGUGCCCUUUGGUUCGGAACAACUCAGGGAAACUUGAGCUAAUACCGAAUGUGCCCUUCGGGGGAAAGAUUUAUCGCCAUUGGAGCGGCCCGCGUCUGAUUAGCUAGUUGGUGAGGUAAAGGCUCACCAAGGCUACGAUCAGUAGCUGGUCUGAGAGGAUGAUCAGCCACAUUGGGACUGAGACACGGCCCAAACUCCUACGGGAGGCAGCAGUGGGGAAUCUUGCGCAAUGGGCGAAAGCCUGACGCAGCCAUGCCGCGUGAAUGAUGAAGGUCUUAGGAUUGUAAAAUUCUUUCACCGGGGACGAUAAUGACGGUACCCGGAGAAGAAGCCCCGGCUAACUUCGUGCCAGCAGCCGCGGUAAUACGAAGGGGGCUAGCGUUGCUCGGAAUUACUGGGCGUAAAGGGCGCGUAGGCGGACAGUUUAGUCAGAGGUGAAAGCCCAGGGCUCAACCUUGGAAUUGCCUUUUGAUACUGGCUGUCNUUGAGUACGGAAGANGUGUGUGGAACUCCGAGUGUAGAGGUGAAAUUCGUAGAUAUUCGGAAGAACACCAGUGGCGAAGGCGACACACUGGUCCCNUUACUGACGCUGAGGCGCGAAAGCGUGGGGAGCAAACAGG